rnacentral:rRNA from 1 species
UGGGGGAUAUUGCACAAUGGGCGAAAGCCUGAUGCAGCGACGCCGCGUGGGGGAUGAAGGCUUUCGGGUUGUAAACCUCUUUCGCUAUCGAACAAGGCCCGCUUAGGGUGGGUUGAGGGUAGGUGGAGAAGAAGCGCCGGCUAACUACGUGCCAGCAGCCGCGGUAAUACGUAGGGCGCGAGCGUUGUCCGGAAUUAUUGGGCGUAAAGGGCUUGUAGGCGGCUCGUUGCGCCUGCUGUGAAAACGCGGGGCUUAACUUCGCGCGUGCAGUGGGUACGGGCAGGCUUGAGUGUGGUAGGGGUGACUGGAAUUCCAGGUGUAGCGGUGGAAUGCGCAGAUAUCUGGAGGAACACCGAUGGCGAAGGCAUGUCACUGGGCCAUUACUGACGCUGAGGAGCGAAAGCAUGGGUAGCGAACAGG